rnacentral:rRNA from 1 species
GAUGAACGCUGGCGGCGUGCCUAACACAUGCAAGUCGAGCGGAGAAUUGUUGCUUGCCCCAAUUCUUAGCGGCGGACGGGUGAGUAACACGUGGGUAACCUGCCCUAAACAAAGGGAUAACAAUGAGAAAUCAUUGCUAAUACCGUAUAAGCUUACACUAUCGCAUGAUAGAGUAAGAAAAGAUUUAUCGGUUUAGGAGGGGCCCGCGUCUGAUUAGCUAGUUGGAGAGGUAACAGCUCACCAAGGCGACGAUCAGUAGCCGACCUGAGAGGGUGAUCGGCCACAUUGGGACUGAGACACGGCCCAAACUCCUACGGGAGGCAGCAGUGGGGAAUAUUGCACAAUGGAGGAAACUCUGAUGCAGCAACGCCGCGUGAAGGAAGAAGGUUUUCGGAUCGUAAACUUCUAUCUACAGGGAAGAAAAAAAUGACGGUACCUGAGUAAGAAGCCCCGGCUAACUACGUG